rnacentral:rRNA from 1 species
UACGUAGGCAGCAAGCGUUGUUCGGAGUUACUGGGCGUAAAGGGUGCGUAGGCGGCCCUGUAAGUAUGGUGUGAAAUCUCCCGGCUUAACUGGGAGGGUGCGCUAUAGACUGCGGGGCUCGAGUGUGGGAGAGGAAAGUGGAAUUCCUGGUGUAGCGGUGAAAUGCGUAGAUAUCAGGAGGAACACCUGUGGUGUAGACAGCUUACUGGACCAUAACUGACGCUGAGGCACGAAAGCGUGGGUAGCAAACAGG